GCCGUUACGCUUCAGGACUCAUUUUCUUAUUUCCUCUUAAAGCCGCCCAAUCAGAAGAAGAUUCACACGCAGGGACAGACCACCAGCCCAGAGGGCUGUCGGGAAACAUCUGCAGGGACCUCUAUCCACAAGGGCGUUCAAUCGAACUGUGAGGUACAUUUCAAACAAACAAAAUGAUGUCAAGUAAAGCCUCCUCAGCUCUGACCAGCCAUGAAGCCACAGGUUCGUUGUUAAACUGGCGGGGAGGCAGAGGAGGAGAUGAUGACUGAGGUUCAAUGCUGGACACUAUCCUCACAGACGAGCACAGAGGACCGAUUGAGAACUUGGUCACAUGGCGCAACAACAAUCACCUGAAGCUCAGUAUCACCAGCAUCAACCCUGUGGCGGACAACCAGAGGAACAGGCGGCCCCUUGUCCUGGUUGACAUCCAGGGAGAGGAAGUGUAGAUGGUGGACUCCAGAAAAAGUCCAUUUAAAUAAAUAAAGGCCACAAAACCAUUUUAGCAGAACAUUAUCAUGUCAGAGUGAAUAUGACCCCGACCUUUUAGUUAUAAACGCAAUCACUUCAUCGUUUUUUUUCUCCAAUGAGACAGUGGUGUGGAAUUUUGUCAUGAUUAGCUUUGACUUUUGACCUCCAAAAUCUGAUCAAUUCUUCCUAAAGACCGAACCUUACUCCCUGAAUUUAUCAUUAGAAAAAGACAAUUCUAAAAUGAGCCCCUUGAAGCUGAUUUUCCCUUUUUAAAAAUGUGUAUGUAGCCUCUUGAUUCUUGCCCUUGUGGGUAAUAUCUUUAUGGUUAAAUGAACUUAUUGUAAGUUGCUCUGGACAAAAGCCUCUGCUGAAUGAAUGUAAUGUAAUCACUGACAAUAAACCUGUUUCCUUUUCUCCA